rnacentral:tRNA from 1 species
UGACUCAGAUGGUAAAGGAUCUGCCUGUAAUGCAGGAGACCCAGGUUCGAUCCCUGG